rnacentral:rRNA from 1 species
UACGAAGGGGGCUAGCGUUGCUCGGAAUCACUGGGCGUAAAGGGUGCGUAGGCGGGUCUUUAAGUCAGGGGUGAAAUCCUGGAGCUCAACUCCGGAACUGCCUUUGAUACUGGCUAUCUUGAGUUCGGGAGAGGUGAGUGGAACUCCGAGUGUAGAGGUGAAAUUCGUAGAUAUUCGGAAGAACACCAGUGGCGAAGGCGACUCACUGGCCCGAUACUGACGCUGAGGCGCGAAAGCGUGGGGAGCAAACAGG